rnacentral:rRNA from 1 species
GACGAACGCUGGCGGCGUGCUUAACACAUGCAAGUCGAACGAAGAGCGAUGGAAGCUUGCUUCUAUCAAUCUUAGUGGCGAACGGGUGAGUAACGCGUAAUCAACCUGCCCUUCAGAGGGGGACAACAGUUGGAAACGACUGCUAAUACCGCAUACGAUCUAAUCUCGGCAUCGAGGAUAGAUGAAAGGUGGCCUCUACAUGUAAGCUAUCACUGAAGGAGGGGAUUGCGUCUGAUUAGCUAGUUGGAGGGGUAACGGCCCACCAAGGCGAUGAUCAGUAGCCGGUCUGAGAGGAUGAACGGCCACAUUGGGACUGAGACACGGCCCAGACUCCUACGGGAGGCAGCAGUGGGGAAUCUUCCGCAAUGGACGAAAGUCUGACGGAGCAACGCCGCGUGAGUGAUGACGGCCUUCGGGUUGUAAAGCUCUGUUAAUCGGGACGAAAGGCCUUCUUGCGAAUAGUGAGAAGGAUUGACGGUACCGGUAUAGAAAGCCACGGCUAACUACGUG